UACGAAGGGGGCUAGCGUUGUUCGGAGUUACUGGGCGUAAAGGGCGCGUAGGCGGCUCUUCAAGUCGGGCGUGAAAGCCCUGGGCUCAACCCGGGAAUGGCGCACGAGACUGAGGGGCUUGAGUGCGGGAGAGGAUGGUGGAAUUCCCAGUGUAGAGGUGAAAUUCGUAGAUAUUGGGAAGAACACCGGUGGCGAAGGCGGCCAUCUGGUCCGCAACUGACGCUGAGGCGCGAAAGCGUGGGGAGCAAACAGG
rnacentral:rRNA from 1 species